rnacentral:rRNA from 1 species
ACGCUCGACACCUACGGGAGCAGCAGUGGGGAAUAUUGCACAAUGGGGGAAACCCGUCGAUGCAGCGACGCCGCGUGGAGGAAGGAAGGUCGUUCGGAUUGUAACUCCUGUUGUUGGGUAAAGAAGAUGUCCAACAAGGAAGUGACGGCUACUACGUGCACAGCGCGUAUCUGAGNGGCGNGNAGC